UAGGGAAUCUUCGGCAAUGGGGGCAACCCUGACCGAGCAACGCCGCGUGAGUGAAGAAGGUUUUCGGAUCGUAAAGCUCUGUUGUAAGAGAAGAACGUGUGUGAGAGUGGAAAGUUCACACAGUGACGGUAACUUACCAGAAAGGGACGGCUAACUACGUGCCAGCAGCCGCGGUAAUACGUAGGUCCCGAGCGUUGUCCGGAUUUAUUGGGCGUAAAGCGAGCGCAGGCGGUUUAAUAAGUCUGAAGUUAAAGGCAGUGGCUUAACCAUUGCUCGCUUUGGAAACUGUUAAACUUGAGUGCAGUAGGGGAGAGUGGAAUUCCAUGUGUAGCGGUGAAAUGCGUAGAUAUAUGGAGGAACACCGGUGGCGAAAGCGGCUCUCUGGUCUGUAACUGACGCUGAGGCUCGAAAGCGUGGGGAGCAAACAGG
rnacentral:rRNA from 1 species